rnacentral:rRNA from 1 species
UGGGGAAUAUUGCGCAAUGGGCGAAAGCCUGACGCAGCGACGCCGCGUGAGGGAUGAAGGUUUUCGGAUCGUAAACCUCUGUCAGAAGGGAAGAAACCGCACUGUGCUAAUCAGCAGUGCCUUGACGGUACCUUCAAAGGAAGCACCGGCUAACUCCGUGCCAGCAGCCGCGGUAAUACGGAGGGUGCAAGCGUUAAUCGGAAUUACUGGGCGUAAAGCGCACGUAGGCUGCUUUGUAAGUCAGGGGUGAAAUCCCACGGCUCAACCGUGGAACUGCCUUUGAUACUGCUUAGCUUGAAUCCGGGAGAGGGUGGCGGAAUUCCAGGUGUAGGAGUGAAAGCCGUAGAUAUCUGGAGGAACAUCAGUGGCGAAGGCGGCCACCUGGACCGGUAUUGACGCUGAGGUGCGAAAGCGUGGGGAGCAAACAGG